UAUCAAUAUGGCAGAAUAGUGCACUAAGUUUAAGCCUUAAAUAUAAAAGACAUCUUUUUAUUGAU
rnacentral:tRNA from 1 species